GCAGUCGAGCGGACAGAUGGGAGCUUGCUCCCUGAUGUUAGCGGCGGACGGGUGAGUAACACGUGGGUAACCUGCCUGUAAGACUGGGAUAACUCCGGGAAACCGGGGCUAAUACCGGAUGCUUGUUUGAACCGCAUGGUUCAAACAUAAAAGGUGGCUUCGGCUACCACUUACAGAUGGACCCGCGGCGCAUUAGCUAGUUGGUGAGGUAAUGGCUCACCAAGGCAACGAUGCGUAGCCGACCUGAGAGGGUGAUCGGCCACACUGGGACUGAGACACGGCCCAGACUCCUACGGGAGGCAGCAGUAGGGAAUCUUCCGCAAUGGACGAAAGUCUGACGGAGCAACGCCGCGUGAGUGAUGAAGGUUUUCGGAUCGUAAAGCUCUGUUGUUAGGGAAGAACAAGUACCGUUCGAAUAGGGCGGUACCUUGACGGUACCUAACCAGAAAGCCACGGCUAACUACGUGCCAGCAGCCGCGGUAAUACGUAGGUGGCAAGCGUUGUCCGGAAUUAUUGGGCGUAAAGGGCUCGCAGGCGGUUUCUUAAGUCUGAUGUGAAAGCCCCCGGCUCAACCGGGGAGGGUCAUUGGAAACUGGGGAACUUGAGUGCAGAAGAGGAGAGUGGAAUUCCACGUGUAGCGGUGAAAUGCGUAGAGAUGUGGAGGAACACCAGUGGCGAAGGCGACUCUCUGGUCUGUAACUGACGCUGAGGAGCGAAAGCGUGGGGAGCGAACAGGAUUAGAUA
rnacentral:rRNA from 1 species